UACGUAGGGUGCGAGCGUUCUCUGGAAUCAUUGGGCGAAAAGAGCUCGUAGGCGGUUCAGCAAGUCGGCUGUGAAAGUCCGAGGCUCAACCUCGGAAUUGCAGUCGAUACUGCUGUGACUCGAGUCCGGUAGAGGAGAACGGAAUUCCCGGUGUAGCGGUGAAAUGCGCAGAUAGCGGGAGGAACACCAGUAGCGAAGGCGGUUCUCUGGGCCGGCACUGACGCUGAGGAGCGAAAGCGUGGGGAGCGAACAGG
rnacentral:rRNA from 1 species